rnacentral:tRNA from 1 species
GCCUUCGUGGUGUAGUUGUCAGCACACUCAGCUCGUAUUCGAGAAGUCCAAGUUUGAGUCCCAGCGAGGGUA